AUUCCAGCUCCAAUAGCGUAUACUAAAGUUGUUGCGGUUAAAAAGCUCGUAGUUGGAUCUUGGAAUGUGUUCAAGCGGGUCAGCUUCUGGCUGUUCGCUGCUUGACGUGUUCUUCUAUUUGGUUUUGGUGCGGUGCGCUUAACUGCGUGUCGCUCCCGGCCGAAACGUUUACCUUGAAAAAAUUAGAGUGUUCAAAGCAGACCUGUUUGAGUCUGAAUAUUCGUGCAUGGAAUAAUGAAAUAUGAAUUCGGUUCUAUUUUGUUGGUUUUCGGAACUCGAGUUAAUGAUCAAGAGGGACAGACGGGGGCAUUCGUACUCUGCCGUUAGAGGUGAAAUUCUUGGAUCGGCGGAAGACGCGCAACUGCGAAAGCAUUUGCCAAGAAUGUUUUCAUUG
rnacentral:rRNA from 1 species